GCCAGGUUGGCAGAGAGGCUAUGCACUCCGCUGCAGACGGAGUUAGGGGGGUUCGAUUCCCUCACCUGGCU
rnacentral:tRNA from 1 species